rnacentral:misc_RNA from 1 species
GAACUGCGAUAAGUAAUGUGAAUUGCAGAAUUCAGUGAAUCAUCGAGUCUUUGAACGCACAUUGCGCCCCCAGGCAUUCCGGGGGGCAUGCCUGUCCGAGCGUCAUUGCUGCCCUUCAAGCCCGGCUUGUGUGUUGGGUCGUCGUCCCCUCCGGGGGACGGGCCCGAAAGGCAGCGGCGGCACCGCGUCCGGUCCUCGAGCGUAUGGGGCUUUGUCACCCGCUCGAUAAGGACCGGCCGGGCGCCAGCCGGCGUCUCCAACCUUUUUUUCUCAGGUUGACCUCGGAUCAGGUAGGGAUACCCGCUGAACUUAAGC